rnacentral:lncRNA from 1 species
AAUUAGUAGUUAUAUUAUAGGAUCAAUUUUUGUUUUUGUGUAAAAAUAAGUAAAUUCAUAUCAAAUUAACUAUGUUUCGAAACAAAAAAAAAACAGGGAGUGUUUAGUUUGCUUCUUUUUCAUCAUGAAAUCGGAAUCGGAAUCGAAAUAGGCGAAUCCGUUUAUGGGUGUUUAGUACGUGAGAGUCCCAUUUUAAUUAUGAUUCCCGAGUGGAAUAGGAAUCACCCAAUCACCUAUUUUUUUCAAUCCGGCCUAUUUUUUCAAUCUGAAUGCGGACGGAAUGGAUAUUUACUCGGAUUAAAUUUAUUUUUCAACUUUUUAAAAUUAAAAUAUGAGUUUAUAUUUAGAAAUUAAAGUAAUUUAGCCCAUAAUUUUUUAACUUUAAGCUUAUUGUCAAUUUUCUAUUAGUACUUUUGUUAUAAUAAUUAUCAUUCUCUUCAUAAAUUAAACCAUUUUUCUAUACUAGGGGUGGCAAUCCAGUUCGUUGUUUGCGAGUCAGCUUGUGUUUAGCCCGAAAUGAGCUCGAGAUCGAAUCACUCGUGCAAUAAACGAGCCGAAUACGAGAUUAAUUUUUCAGCUCGUUUAAUAAAUGAGCCGAAUACGAGCUAGAGUCAGCUCGAUAACAACUUAAAUACAUAUAUUAUAUAUUUAUAUAUAUAUAAAUAAAUAAUUAGUUUUUAGCUUAAUCUAAAUAUAAAGCCAAACUCAAUUAUAAAAAGUCAUUUAUAUGCAAAAUUUAAACUAUUUGAUCAAAGUCAAAUGGUAAGAUCUUACAAAAAAAUUUUUUAUACGUAUCCCUCACAAUUGUUUUAACUUGUUGUUCAUAAGUCAGCUCAAGUUAAUAUGAUCUGAAUUUUUUGACUCGAUAUUUUAACGAAUCAACUAAUGAUUGGCU